rnacentral:lncRNA from 1 species
CCACUGUGUGUUCUGCUUGUCCCAGUAACUUUCAUCCUAUGGUCUCUGCAUGCUGUUAUUUUAGGUGUAUCCUUUACCAUUAUGUGGCAGUUGCCCUCAGCAUCCCAGCGCGGGCUGCAUCUGUAGCACCACACUGCACUGUGCACAUGCUGGGCUGGCCGGGGCGCUGCGGCAGCACAGCGCUCAGCUCUGGUCCGGAGCUCAGCCCUCUCGGCAGCAGCAGUUCCUCAGCGCUCCUCAUGGCCUGGCAGCGCAUCUACCGCAGACACCUUCCCAGAAAAGUAACAGUCCAAAAUUUGCCAUUCCAAUGA